GAACAUUUUCCAGAAAAUCAUAAAUCGGCAAAGGGUUUUUGAAAGUAAUUUUCAAAGUAAGAUUUAGGGAAAUUGUUUGAAAAUUCAUGUAUAGCUUAGAUACACAACAGAUCUAAAAAUAAUUGAAGAAAAACCUCGAAUGACUAGGGUUUCAGAGGAACCCUAGGGAGAGAAAGGCUUUGGAAAAGGUCCGAUCUAAGUCGGAUAAUGUUGGAAUCAGGCUCAGGAGGCUAGGAUUGCUGAAGCAAAGCCUGGAGAUGGAGGAAAAACUUAAGUCAGCAAAGGUCUGAUGUUGAACCUUCAGGCAUCAAGCACACAGGAGUAAUAGGAGGUGAGUAUAUGUCAUCUAUGGCCUGAGAAGCCAUAUAUUCUAGUGGGGUUGUGGUUGGAGAGGUGAUGGAGUUCAUCAGAGAAGAGAGAACCAGAAGGUUCUAGAGAUAAGGGAGAGGGAGAGACGAUAUAGAGAGAGAG
rnacentral:lncRNA from 1 species